rnacentral:rRNA from 1 species
CUAAUACAUGCAAGUCGAACGAAACUUUUUUUAUCACCGAGUGCUUGCACUCACCGAUAAAGAGUUGAGUGGCGAACGGGUGAGUAACACGUGGGCAACCUGCCCAAAAGAGGGGGAUAACACUUGGAAACAGGUGCUAAUACCGCAUAACCAUAGUUACCGCAUGGUAACUAUGUAAAAGGUGGCUAUGCUACCGCUUUUGGAUGGGCCCGCGGUGCAUUAGCUGGUUGGUGGGGUAAAGGCUUACCAAGGCAAUGAUGCGUAGCCGAACUGAGAGGUUGAUCGGCCACAUUGGGACUGAGACACGGCCCAAACUCCUACGGGAGGCAGCAGUAGGGAAUCUUCCACAAUGGGCGAAAGCCUGAUGGAGCAACGCCGCGUGGGUGAAGAAGGUCUUCGGAUCGUAAAACCCUGUUGUUAGAGAAGAAAGUGCGUGAGAGUAACUGUUCACGUUUCGACGGUAUCUAACCAGAAAGCCACGGCUAACUACGUGCCAGCAGCCGCGGUAAUACGUAGGUGGCAAGCGUUAUCCGGAUUUAUUGGGCGUAAAGGGAACGCAGGCGGUCUUUUAAGUCUGAUGUGAAAGCCUUCGGCUUAACCGGAGUAGUGCAUUGGAAACUGGGAGACUUGAGUGCAGAAGAGGAGAGUGGAACUCCAUGUGUAGCGGUGAAAUGCGUAGAUAUAUGGAAGAACACCAGUGGCGAAAGCGGCUCUCUGGUCUGUAACUGACGC